UUCACUCACCUUUACCCACAUUAACACACACGCCGCACUCACCUCACCCCUCACCCACCUUCCACUGUAACACACACAUGGGAAAAGAAAAGAGAGAAAGGAAGGAAGAAGAAAGAAGGAGGGGCAAGGAGGGAGACGGCGCCGGUGCUGCCGUGGCCGUCGCUGUCACUAAGAGGGAGAGAGAGAGAGUUCACGGAGAAGAGAGAGGGAGACACACGGAGAGAACCACCGCGAGGAGAGGAAGAAGCUGCCUCGCCGCCAAGCCGCUACCGUCGAGGAUCCCGUCCACGUCACCAUCGCCGAGGAGAAGUCGCUAUCAUCGCCGUCCUCAUUGCGAGCUGUCGCCGUCGUCGUAGAAUCCAUCGCCGCCGCCGAAGCUUCAAAGUCACCGCCGUCGCAAUGAUGGAGGCCCAAGGAGAGAGAGACGAACCAAGAGUCCAACGGGAGAGAGAAUUGGAUGCUUCGCGGGAGCUCUGUCACUGCCCAGCCAUCACCGUCGCUGCGGGUUGCAUCGCCGAGCCUCGGUCGCCGGGAUUAACUGCCAGUAAUGGUGUUCUUGCUUCUAGUUUUCAUUCUUUUGAAUUUUUGGAACCUUGUUGUCACUGCAUGGCUGUUACAGUUGCCGUCAUCGGCAUUUUUGGUUGCCGCAGUCACUUGAGGUAGCUGUUGGAGCUGCUGCCGGGUUAGUUCGAAGUUGUUGCUGCUUCAUUCUGUUGUUACGGUAAGUGUAUUUUAUUCCAGACCGUCGCAGUUAGUGUUCAAUUAUAACUUGUUAAAGAAUUUAAGGUAUCGGAUGUCGUAGGGUUGUGUACUAUUGUUGCAUUCUGUGUUUGUGGCUGCUGGAAUUGCUGCCAUAGCAUUCUUAGUUGUUCCUCAUGAUAUGUUGUUGCUGUGAUCAUUGCGGUUGCUUGGAGAUCAUUGAGGUUGUUGCCGCUGUUGAGAAUCAACGAUAAUAAAGGGUUUAUUGUAUUAAAAAUGCUGCGGACUUGAUUCCUCGUGGUAUGGGAUUAUUUUAAAAUAAAAUUGCUUUGGACUUUGAAUA